GUUCGGAAGGGAUAAGCGCUGAAUGCAUCUAAGUGCGAAGCCCCCCUCAAGAUUAGGUAUCGAUUCUCUUCGGAGAUGAAGGCACCUUCUAGACUAGGAGGUUGAUAGGCUGCAUGUGUAAGGGGUGAGAGCCCUUCAGCUAAGCAGUACUAAUCUGCCAAACGUUUGACCAC
rnacentral:rRNA from 1 species